ensembl:lncRNA
CUAGCUAGCAGCUUUGUUGCAAUUGUCUCUGGUUUGUUUGAAGAUAAAUGAAUGAAUCUCAUGUUAAUUUAAGAUCUCAGUUUCAGUUUGCACAGUAAAUGUCACUAACAACCUUCUCUUUCACUGCUCAUAAUAUAUCGUUUCAAAAAUGCAUUCUAUAUUAAUGUGUUCUAGCCAAAUGUUUACUUUAAAUGGGUAUAUUGUGCUUUUGCACAAUGCAGCUUAUAUAGGUUGAUAGAUUAUUUAUAUAGAUAGAUAGAUAGAUAUAGAUAUAAAUAAUAUAAAAUUUCCUAAGAACCAAAUAUUAGAAAUUAUAUGCCUGAGAUUGAUAGAGCAGUAGCAACAUUUGUCCUCAUUAAAGUUUUGUUGUUGUUGAAUAAAUCUAGUGACCAAAAGAACUAGAUCGUUGGUACAAGCGGCUGAAAUGGGUUUUCUCAGGAGGGUGGCUGGCCUCUCCCUUAGAGAUAGGGUGAGAAGCUCGGUUAUCCGAGAGGAACUAAGAGUAGAGCCGCUGCUCCUUUGCAUUGAAAGAACCAGUUGAGGUGGUUCGGGCACCUGGUAAGGAUGCCCCCUGGGCACCUCCCUAGGGAGGUGUUCCAGGCAUGUCCAGCUGGGAGGAGACCUCGGGGAAGACCCAGGACCAGGUGGAGAGAUUAUAUCUCCACACUGGCCUGGGAAUGCCUCAGGAUCCCCCAGUCAGAGCUGGGUAAUGUGGCUCGGGAAAGGGAAGUUUGGGGUCCCCUGCCGGAGCUGCUGCCCUGCGACCCGAUAACAGAUAAGCGGUUGAGGAUUGGUGGAUGGAUGAAUAAAUCUAGCUAUAACUUUGUACAUAAGCAAAUGUAAAAAAUUAUAUAUAAUUUUUGUAAUAUGGGACUUUGAUUUUGCAUAAAUAGGAAAGAAAAUAAAAGGGAAAAAGCUGUGUUGAGAUGACUUAUUUUUGUAAUUAUUAUCUAAUAUGUAGGUACUUUGAAAAAAGUGACCCGUUAGACAGAAGCUAGACAAAACAGAAGCUAGUCCAAUUAAUAUAUAUAUAUAUACAUAUAUAUAUCAUUUUGGAUGAAUAUUUGCUAAUUUUGUAGUUGAACAUUACAACAUGAAUAUUCUGAUGAACUGCACACUCCUAUUGUGAUCUUUUGACUUGUGCCCAAAGCCAUAAAUAUUAUUCUGAUGCAGUUCAUCAUGGUCUUAAUAUCUGAUUUUUUUUAAAGAAAACAAUAUAUGUGUGUUUUCAAUUUAGUCCUGUUUUGGACACGAUGUCUUCAGUCUUUUGUGUGCAACACCUAUACAAAAACUACCUUAGGAUCUUAGGACAUGGUCUGUAUCAUAAACAAGGCCAAUACCACAUGGCUAAUGACAUUUGAUUUCUAUUUUUAGAAGGUACAGACUUGAUGCAAGACUGUGUACUUUAUUUCUUUAUUGAGGCAAUCAACUACUGAUCAAAUAAAGCAUUGUAUUUUAUGACCUUGUCAAUAUGUCAUUUGUCAUAUUUUUUUCCAUUAGAGUUUUGGAUAUAGUUUAGUGUUUUGUAAUUAUUGUCUUCAUUGUAUGUUUGUGUGCAUCGUAUUUUAGAUGAUUCUAGUUUUGUUCAUUUGUUGGUGUUUUAGAUUAAUUUUCUAGCAAACUAGCAUAGUUAAUGUCAGUCUUCACUCACAUGUAUGUCCUCCAUCAUGGAACAUAACUCACACCACCCCUAUACCACAGGACAGGUGUCACUGCCAAUAACUGAUGUUUAUAUAUCAGUCUUAACCAUACAUAACUCGAAACUGUCUGCUAUCUGGGAUGCAUUAACCACCAUUUGUUUGAAAUGUAGUUUCAGUUUCCAAUAAACAUUUACAAAGAAAGAAAGUACAAUCUGAAAUAAUUUCAAAUCAAGUGAUGUAAAAUAUCUUCUUAUCAGCGAUAUAUUAUGCCAGAGGAUAUAAUGUGACAAUCAAACUCAAUAAAAAGUCAAAAUGUG